CAGACAGCGCAGAUUUAUUUGCAGAGAACGUUGUUUAAUAGAGAACAACUGUAAACAAGCAAAUAAAUGAAAUGCAAAAACACAUAAGAAUAGCAGAAAAUAGUGGAAAAACAAAGGUGAUGUGGAGUGAGGAUACCGAGGCCGAUCUUGCUGGCGUUUUUGCUCGCCACAGCUUCGAUCGGGCAGGCAAUACAGCUGUCACAUACUCGUAUAUCAGGAGAUGGCGGACACUAUAGAGACUCUUGGCCACGAGUAUACUGCCGCUGAAAUAAAGGUGAAACUGUAUGAAUUCACCAAUGAAUGAAAGCAGGAGCAACAAAAAAUUGGCAAUUCGUCAUGGACACAUUUUACCGCGGUCCACGAAGCGUUACGAGCUUGUAGAAGACAGCAUUAUGGGUACGGUUUGAUAAUGCGCCUUCUCUUUAAAAUAAAUAUAUACAAACAUUAUUGAUAUUGAGAACAUUGAGCCGAUAUAUGAGGAUUGUGACACCGAAUGGCAAUCAAACCUUUUGAUUAUUGACACCUCGUCAUCCGAUAGCUCCAAUCACUCUUCAUCCAGUGAUACUGGAAACACUAUAAAGAAAACGGCAGUAUCGAUGAUGGAAGAAUUACGGGUAGAUUUUUUGAAGGCGACUCAGACCUGGAAGGAAGAUGAUGAAAAAGAGUAAAUUAUUUUGCAACAACAUGCCAAUGACGUUCGUGAGAUGAAGGAUGCUUUCAUCGACUUCCUUCGUCGCCAAAAUUAGUCUUGGACUUGUUUUUUAUGCUUAGAAAUGUAGAUAUAUGUAUGUAUAAUUAUGAAAUAGUUUUAUGUUUGUUGUUUUACC